ensembl:lncRNA novel transcript
GCACGUGUCGUCAGGACUUCCUGAAGCUGCGUCACAGGCGUGCAUCCUUGACCUUGGCAAAAUAAACUUGCUAAAUUAACUGAGACCUGUCUCAGAUUUUGGGGGUUCACAUUUUGGUAACCACAGGGGGAUUCUGAGUGAAGAUGCCCCUGGCCUGUGACAAAUCUCCUGUGGGUGCUUGGUACCCGCAUCAGCUAACUUUAUGGCUCAAACCAAUGGGACAACUUGCUGAGGCCUGUGAGCACCUCCUCAGUGAAUCCCUGACCUUUCAAAAUUUGGUCAAGAUCUAAAGUUUAUUUUGCUGUACAACUUCUUUUUUUUUUUUGAGUUUUACUUGCUUCCAACAAGGAAGGCAUGUCUUCCUACUUCCAUGACGAUGGAAAGCAGGUAACCCCUUUGUGGAGUUUGAGCUCGCUGCCAGCAGGGAAGAGGAGUUUUAUUUUUCCCUGCUGCUAGGAUGGGAGAGUGAAGUCUACAGCCUGAGACCCAUCACAAGGUAAGAAACUGGUUUGGGAUUCUGUCUUGCAAAUUCUUUUUAAACAACUAAGGUUAGCAUUAACAAGCAGCUGGUUUUAAUUUCUGCUUACACUUAGAGCACUCAGAAAUCAUAUAAUUUGUGUGAUCAUUGUUAGUUUUCCUUAACUGUUUUGUUGUUUGUUUCUUAACUGUCUCGUUGGGUUUGUGUGUGUGUUUGUUUCAGUGCUUUCCCUUAUCAGAUUUGACCAACUCCAAACCUUCUAGCUCACUAAUGUGGAAUGUUCCACUCCAAAGAAAUAAGAGCACCUUGCUCCCCUCAGCCUUUCCUGGCAUUCUCAGGCAACUGAGAAUCACCUGAGGGUGUCUGGGAGAAACACUCCCUAAGACAUGCAGUGGCUCUAAAUAGGUUCCCCCUCAGAAGAACAUACUUGGAGUUUAAUCUCAACCAGCAGGUACAUAGAAGGAGCUGACCCCUCCCGAACCUUGAGGCCCUGACACACUGUGCCAGGUGGCUGAGACAUGGGCGGACAGAACAGGUUCAGGGGGUCAUGACUCUGAAGAGCUAGGUCUGCGAGCAGCACAUUUUGGGUCUGACAUACGUCCCAACUUGGUCAGAUCCAAAGAGUAACUCUGAAUUAUGGGGAACAAGGCCUUUGAAGUGGGAGGAAAAUGGCCAGCAAAAGGGAAAAAGAAAAAGGGAAAAGAUUUUUAAUUUUGACUACAAAAGGGGCUUUAUUUACAUAACAAGGCCACCUUUUUGCCAGUCAAACCAAACUGAAAGAGGAAUGGCUGUACUACUGAAUUAGCAGCAUUUUCUCCUAGCUGACAUAUGGUAAUGAGAUUUUAAAAUAUUUUUUAAAGAAGUUCAAUGAUUAAAAGUCAGCUUAAUUAGAAGGAUAACAUCCAAGAUGUGAGUGUGUAUGUGUGCACGUGUGCAUAUUUGUAUUUAAAAGGCCUUCAUUGUUUUGGGUUUUUUUGUUUGUUUUUCUCUCCUAAGACCUUGUCUUUUUUUGAGCAAAAGUUUUUUUUUCUUUCUUAUCAGUUGACUGAAUGCUCUUUUCACCUGAUUUAUUGACUAAAAUAGUUAUUACAACAGAGGCUACGCUUGGGUUUUUAAGGGAGAAUGUAGUUUAGACACUCAGAAAUGUCUUUGUUUAAAAAAAGUUUUUUUAAGUACACUAUAAAAGCGUCUCCCUCGAGUACCACCAGACUUUUUCUCUCUGUACCUUAUGAUGGAAAUUUUGCUAUUUAAUUUUCAACUGAGUUGUUUCCUUUAAUAUGCAAAUUUAAGCCUAUUUAGCUAUCAACUGCCUCGGGUUGUAAAACAGGUUAUCAAGGAUCUAAAAGUCUAAGAUAGGGAAAAAAAAGGUCUUAUUGAAUCUAUAAGAUGUACUUCCAUCCACAUGCCCAAUACAUCUAUGUAUUUAUGUAUUGUGUAUACAAUGUUUCACUACUGAAAAAUAUAUAAAGGGCUUAAAGAAAAAUGAAAGCAUUUAAAUAAAAUACUUUAUCAGGAAAAAAGAAAAGACUAGUCAAAUGCUUUUUCGAGUUUAUGGAACUUAAGUAAAAGCUUUAAUAAAUAAGCCAGCUUUAAAAUUAUUAGUAAAGUAAUAUUAGAAAUGUCUGAGGAAUUGCCAGCAUACUUUUUUUUUGCAUUUAUUAAUCAGACAAUUUCAUGCUUAUCCCUGCCAAAUAGUGUAAGAUGUCAAAAUUUGGCAUAGGGGUUACAAAACUAUAAACCUAGCCCAAAGCAGAGUGAUCUUUGCUGUGUAAUUUUUAAUAAAUAAGACAUUGAUAUCGGUUUAAUGAACAUCUGCAUCUUAAAUUUAGGAAGAUUACCAUAAUUUCUAAUCUUGGCUUUAGGGAGUCUAGUCCACAGGCAGUAAGGAGGUUUGUUCUGGGAAAAAACUGUUACUGUCUUUGUUUCAAAGCUAGACUGUAAAUUAAGUUCCUCCCAAAGUCCAGGAACGAAGAAGGACAGCUUGGAGGCUAGAAGCAAGAUGGAGUCAGUUAGGUCAUAUCUUUUUCACUGCCUCAGUUAUAUUUUUGCAAUGGCAAUCUAUAACUUUAAAUCAUAACUAUCACAGUUUUCAUAAAUAAUCCAGGUAAACAAUUAAAAUAAAAUAAUUAGGUAAAUGUAAUGAGAUAAAUACUUGUAGACAAAUGUCAUAAUUUAGAAUCUAAAGUUAAAUUAAAUAAUAGAGAUUUCAUUAUUUGGGUAUUUUCCAAUCUAUAUUGUAGGAGAAUAUUCUUGCAAAAAAAAAAGUGUGUCCUUUUUAAAAAAAAAAAUAGGUGAACACGUUUUAUCUAAUUCAAAGCUUAUUUAAAGGUUAUGUAUAAAACAAGGUAAAAGGAACCAGGAAAUAAAAAAGAGAUGUAAAAAAGUUAUAAAAAUAAAGAGAUUUUAUGUGUGCAUGGUAAGAAAGCUUAAAGAGAAACAAUUUUAUAUGAGAAAGAAUCUUAUAUGGCAGAUUUAGUCUUAGAGAAAAUGACGGGUUGUUUCAGAAGGAGGAAUACUCAGGACAAACCAGAAGGUCCCAAGCAUGUUAUGAACAGUUAGUGUAAGUCACAAUAAGAGGAUUUAUUUUGAGGAAAAAAACCCAAAAACUUGUAUAUGAUGAAUUUGUCAUAUUAUGAUUAAGUUUUGGUUUGCUUAGGAAAAAUAACUGAGAUAAUUUUUUUGAAUUAAGGUUAUUACAUCCAUAUAUCUUCCUGUAUGUGCUUUUAAAGUUUUUGUGACAUUGAGUUACAGGGCUUUGACUCCUGGGUCUAAAAAGGACACCAAUUCCUGCUAAAUCUUAAACACUGACAGCAAUUAAAGCCUCAUCUUCAGGCCCUGUAGAAGAUGCCAAUCAAAAUAAACUGCAUUCCUGAGACACAGGGCCAGAAAGGAAAGCCAUUCAACUUCUCAAGGCCCAGGGACUAUCACAGAAGAGGUGGGCAUGUAAGAUUGUAAGGGCCGAUUUUAAAAGAUAAAAUAAGUUCAGUUUCUGCAUAAAUUAAUCAUUAAUGUCAAAGACACACUGAUGCAAGACCAGCAUAUGGACCACUGUGUCAGAUUAGCAAGGUUUUCUUGAGGCAUUAACCAACUCCUUAAUAAAGGUUAUAAAAGUUAUAAAAGGCUUAUGGAACUUAUAUUUUAUGAUCAAGAUUAAAUUUUAUAGAUUGGUUGCAAAAUUUGGGAAAACAUUUAAUUGGCUUCAUGCUAUUUUUAUUAGGACUUCUUAUUUGGAAAAUUAAGUCUCCUCUCUCAAAGAAUGAAGGUUUUCACUUUUUUGAAAUGCUUGAGUUACCACUUGGUUACAUGAAUGACUUCACAAUGGCCUGUAAUCCUAUUUUGUGAUAUCAAGUGUCUUAAACCUUUUAUAUUUGACAAGCUUUCCAAAGUCAAACUACAAAUUGUGUCUUUUUCUGACCUAAUUAAUCCUUUAAGAUAUUAGUUUCCCUAAAGUCCAAAAAUGACAUAAGUUGGCUUAUUUGGUAAAAAAAAAUUAUACCAGAAGAAUUGUCAAAUAUUAAAUGGUGCUUUAUUUUCUUUGGGCUGUAUUUGUAUAAAUAUGUUAUUGGUAAGUGUUCCAAAAUUAUGGAAAACUCCUGUUAUUUUGAUAUGACUUAGUGUACAUUAUUAGUAAUGAUUGUUAUGUUAAAGUUAUUGUGUGCCACAGUAAUAAUACAUUUCUUUGUCAAUUGUGUCUUUGACUAUGGGUGCCCUAAAACCUUUUUUCAUCCAUGGACAAUUGUCUUGUUUUGGUCCUCUUUAGAAGUUGGUUUCAUAAUCAGCUAUAAAACUUCAACAGGUGCUCUUGAGUGCAAGAUUCUGAUAACUUCAAAGAUUGUAACAUUGGAACAGAGAAAAAAAUGUUCAGGACUCACGGAGAGUUAAAAUGUUCAUGAGUAUCAAGCAGAAUAGAAAUUAACUGCAUGGACUGAACUAUUCUUCCUAACUUUUAAUGUUUGCUGAUCCUUUGUGUUGUUUUUCAGAGUCUUAAAACUUUUCUUUUGAGCUAUUGACAGCUUUAAAAAAUUUAGUAUACUCCUAUGAACAAAAUUUGGAGCAUUUUUGUUUCUAUCUGAUUUCUCCAGAAUUUGGAACUAUUUGUGAGUAUUCUUAACUUAUGGUAAUAUAGUUAUGUGCAUAAGUGCAACAAGAAACUGUUUUCAGGCCAGGAGUGGUGACUAAUGCCUUUAAUCCCAGCACUUUGGGAGGCCAAGGCAGGUGGGUCACCUGAGGUCAGGAGUUUGAGAACAGCCUGGCCAACAUGGUGAAACCCCGUCUCUACUAAAAUACCAAAAUUAGCUGGGUAUGGUGGUGGGCAUCUGUAAUCCCAGCUACUUGGGAGGCUGAGGCAGGAUAAUUGUUUGAACACAGGAGGUGGAGGUUGCAGUGAGCCAAGAUCGUGCCAUUGCACUCCAGCCUGGGUGACAGGAGUUAAACUGCAUCUCAAAAAAGAAAAAAAAAAAAAAAAAAAGAAUCUGUUUUCAUUUGUAACAGGACAUAAUUGGAGAAACUGGUUAUUUGACCAAGACUUUAACUGGAAUGGUGUGCUCUCCUUUAAGGAAUCAAACUUGAGUUAUGGAGCCAAUAAAGCCCUUGGAAAAACUGGCCUCAUAUUCUGUGUACGCAGUCCCUGUACAGGAUUUCUGACCUGUGCUAAGUAAAGAAUGUCACUUUCUGACAGGCCCAGAAGCCUCAGGUUUAUCUUGGAACCUCAAGAGGAGAGGAAAUAUACCCAACUCAUAGAUAUUUGAUGGCACGAAUCCAUGGCUGGGCUCAGCUUUUAAAAAGUUUUAUCUGAGAUUCCUUCUAUGGAACAAAGUUCCAUUAAAGCCAAUUUAAAAGCCUAUGUAAAAAUAAUUAUUCUUGCUGCAAUGCAUACAAAUAAUUAGGCCAAGUAUAAUAAAGAAAACCAUUUUCGAUUUGCCUUUAGCAAAAUGGGAAACUGGAGAGAGAAAAAUUAUGUUUCAAAAACUAUAGUACCCCUGUUGUUAGGAUCUAAUCUUGCCUAAUGUUUUUCCAAGUCUUCAGAAUAAUGUUUUCUUUUAUUUCCUUCUUUUUUUCCAUUUUUCCUAAUUGGGAGUCACUGAAAACUAAGUUAUGCUUUCUUUAAACCCUGCAAACUCAAACCAGACAACCUAAACUUCAGAAGAAAAUAACAGCAAUCUAUUUACAUACAUAAGCCACUUUCAUACCUGCCUACUGUUGUAUAGACUUCAGAGUAAUGUGGCCUAUAUCAGUUUUCCAGGAUUGCUCUUUUGUUUGUUGUUGUUUUUCUCCCCUCCUCUCCCUAAUUUCUCUUCAUAGGAUGUGAGACUUCACAACCUGCUAAAAAUGAGCUUUUGGGACCUACCCAUCUAGGAAUAAACCGUCCUAACCAUAAGAGAUCAGGUGAAACCUGACACCAGAGGCUCAUUUUCUUCUAAAAUGUUUUCUGCAAAAGAUUAAGAAGAAAAGGGGGAAAAUGUGGAAGGAAAAUACCUUGGGCCCUUUCAAGCUGGGAACUGCUCAGGGCAAAUGUGCCUCCCAUUCUAUUCAAAGUCAUCCCUCUGCUCAUUGAGAUAGAAGUAUAUCUGAUUGCCUCCUUUGGAAAGGCUAAUCAGAAACUCAAAGGAAUGCAACUGUUUGUUGUCUCUCACCUAUCUGUGACCUGGAAGUCCCCUUCGCACUUCCAGUCUUCCUGCCUUUGCUUCAAGUUGUCCUGCCUCUCCAGACCAAACCAAUGUACUUAUUACAUAUAUUGAUUGAUGUCUCAUGUCUCUCUAAAAUGUAUAAAACUAACUUUUGCCGUGACCACCUUGUUCACAUGUCGUCAGGGCUUCCUGAGGCUGUGUCAUGGGCCCACGUCCUCGACCUUGGCAAAAUAAGCUUUCUAAAUUAACUGAUAACGUGUCUCGGAUUUUUGGGGUUCACAUAUCCAGAAGUAUAUCUAUAAAAAAUUAUUUAUGUUUUCUUCAAAAUUACAAUAUCCACUGUAUAGAGCACCAUAGACAUAAGUAACUCCAUUUUAGAAAAAGACUUCAUCUUAUAUUUCAAAUGGCAUCAUAUCAGUGGGACCAGAUGUUUGUCUAAUCAAUAGAGUCUAUACCCAACAAGACUGAGGCGUAAGACAGCCCUCGCCAGAGGAUGCAAGGAGGUACGAAGAACAGGGCUUCAUCAGUUCAACACAGUCAUCUCAUUAGACAUUGUCCUGCUGUCACUCUUGGGCAGCGCCUAGCAUCUGCUGCUAAAGGCUCUGCCCAAAUCAAGAACUCUCCCUUGCAAGACUUUGACAAGCGCCUGGAUUAGUCCAAGACAGUCUCCUUGUCCAUGUUGCUAUCCUUGGACUGGUUCAUUAACAUCUUUCCCUAUACUACACAGUUUUCUCUCAAUGUUAAAUGUUACUGUGAUGUGGAAAUUUUAAUCUACCAUAUGCAUGUAUUAAUUAUACUACUAUGUAUGGUUUGCCAUAUUGACUAACUUGUAGAUCAGCUUGAGCCUGUGUGUUCUUGGCUGUGACUGCCAAGUGAAGAGAUAAUGCUAAGGAGAGUUGUCUCCUUGGGAACUCCCUGUAGCUUGUGGCUUUUAUGAAUAAAUAAGCAUCAGUAAAAGCCUGACCUUAAUGUUGUACCUGAUCAAGUCAGAGAAAAUGCCACACUUUGAGAUGAAUUAAAGAGUCCGUUUAUUCAGCUGGUGGCCAAGAGACGGCUAAAGCUCAAAGUUCUCUCGGCCCCGAAGAAGGGGCUAGAUUUUCUUUUAUACUUUGGUUUAGAAAGGGGAGGGGGGGUCUAGUUAAAACAAUUUUACAGAAGUAAAGUAGGCAAAAAAGUUAAAAGGAUAAAUGGUCACAGGAAAGUAAACAGUUCCAGGUGCAGGGGCUUUAAGACUAUUACAAGGUGAUAGACGCUGGGCUUUGGGCAUUAUCAAUCGGACGAAUUCCUGGGAACUGCGGAUAUUGCUCGCCACAGUAUCUUAUCAGUUAAUUGCAUUCUUGGAUGUGCUGGGAGUCAGCUUGCACAAGUUAAGUCGUUGAGGAAGGGGCUGCCAGUGAAAAAGCCAAGAUGGAGUCUGUCUGGCUUUCUUAGCUAAGGGAGAGUCAAUUCAGGUGGAAACAAGGCUAGGUGAUUAAAGGAAAGGGAGAGUCUAAGAACAGGGUUAGUAAAAAACAAGGUUGGGCAUUACAUUAUAAAAAGAUACAAACAUGCCUGUAUCUGAUUAUGUCUGACCUUGUACAUCUCAUGACAUCCGCAGUCAAUGAACAUGUCUAUUUUAGUCUCUGAAUAGGCCUGGAAAGGAAAGGUAUACACAAAUACUUGAUAAGUGGAAAAAAUAAAUGUUUGCAAUUUGGGUACAUACCAAUACCUUCCUUCUGUUUAUUAAUUGUUUAAGUUUUGCUUUUGUUGUAUGCAACUAAAUCAUGUUUAUGGUAUGCCUGUGUUCUGUUUUUUGCAAUUAUUUGACAUAAAUACACUGGUUUUGUUUUUAUUUUGUUUGUUUUAGUCUACCUUUCCUCAGAUAAUGAGAGCACUAUCUAAACAUGCAAUCUUUCAGGAGACAAAGUUGUGUAUUAUCCUUGUCUGCAGCCUUUGAACUUCAGAGAGAUGGUUACUUUCUGGCAUCUGAUAGCUCUCUCCAUUGUGAUUCUACUGAAAUAAAUCACUUCUGUCUUUAAUCAUGAUUCUGUAUCUGAACCAUUGGAGUCUACAACAAAUAGUAAUUUCCACAUGUGUUGUUUUCAAGGAUUUUCUUUGCUCUGCCCCACUUCAGCAAGUACUUUGUUAUUUAUGGACCAUAUUUUCUAAAAUAUAAAGCCAUAUAACUUUA